rnacentral:rRNA from 1 species
AUGUGGGCGUGGGGCCUCGCCGAGCGCGCCAUCGCCGGCCUCCUCGGCCCCGCCGGCGCGAAUGGCGGUCGCUGGAACACCGCCGUCGCCGUCGGGGUCACGGCCGCGGCCGGCAUCGCGCUAGUCGCCAUCGUCGUCUCCUCCCGCAGGGGCGGGAUCAAAUCGCCGUGGCGGCGGCGGAGGAAGCGCGCGCUUGGGCCCAAGGAAUGGCGCAGCUUGUUCACGCCGGAGGGGAAGUUUUACGACGGCGGCGUCAAGCUACUGAAGAGAGUUCGGAACGGAGGGGUUGAGCCGAGCAUCAGAGCAGAGGUCUGGCCGUUCCUUCUGGGAGUUUAUAGCCUGAAUAGUUCAGAAGCUGAAAGGGAAGCAAUUAAGGCCCAUAACAGGAAGGGAUAUAUGCUCUUGAGGAAACAUUGCCUGCGAAAAAACAAUGAAGAAAGCAAGCGAUCAAUCAACCGCAAAGAGAGCAUUAGUUCUGGCAAAGUCAAAGAAUCUGUUACUUCUGUUGGAUCCGAAGAACCUGAAAAAGUAAGCGUGGAUGAUCAUAUCACGAGUGAGGAAGAAAAUCCUUGUGUCAUUUCAGAGCAAGAAAUGCAGGAUAAGACAGGUAAAGCAAUUCCAGAGAAUCAGGCGGAUGAAAGCCUCUGUUCAUCUAGUUCACGCGAUGAGGAUGAGAGUCAGAAAAGUGAUGUGACCCAUGUGGAAGCGUCUCGUGAUGAUGUCGCCUCUGUGGACCAGUCUUCAGUUGAGGAUGAAGAAGAAAGUAUGCCCCUGCCCAAAUAUUCAAACGCAGGAGGAAAUAUAGAAGCUGAAACUAAGUUAUCUAAGGAUGCCCGUCCUGUGAAGUCUGCACGGACAGUUGAGGAUUUUGAGACAUGGCAACGGAUAAUUCGUUUGGAUGCAGUUCGUGCUAAUAAUGAAUGGGUUUCCUACUCUCCAUCGCAAGCUGCGGUUACCAGGGAGAAGGCAAUUGACUCUGCUUCAGCUGUUUGUCUCAAAGACUAUGACCACUUGGAAGCACAUAGGAUCCAUCAUGCGUCACGCCUUGUUGCAAUACUUGAGGCGUACGCAACCUAUGACCCAGAAAUCGGUUAUUGCCAGGGCAUGAGUGACCUCCUUGCACCUCUCAUUGCUGUGCUGGAGGAAGACGAUGAAGCCUUCUGGUGCUUUGCCGGUUUCAUGAGGAAAGCCCGCCACAACUUCAGACUCGACGAAGUGGGUAUUCGCAGGCAACUCAACAUGGUCUCCAAGAUAAUAAAAACCAAGGACUUCCAUCUUUACAGGCACUUGGAGAUGCUUGAAGCGGCAGACUGCUUCUUCGUCUAUAGAAUGGUGGUUGUGAUGUUCCGGAGGGAGCUCACCUUCGAGCAGACCCUCAGCCUGUGGGAGGUGAUGUGGGCCGACCAGGCAGCGAGGCGUGCUGGGAUCGCACGAUCGUCCUGGGGAAAACUUCGGCUUGGAGCCCCUCCAACUGAUGACCUGCUGCUGUAUGCGAUUGCAGCCAGUGUACUGGAGAAGAGGAAAUUGAUAAUAGAGAGCUAUAGCAGCAUGGAUGAGAUCAUUAGGGACUGUAACAGCAUGGCGGGGCAGCUGGACAUUUGGAAGCUCCUGGACGACGCCCAUGAUUUAGUGGUGACCGUACAAGACAGGAUCGAGUAG